rnacentral:rRNA from 1 species
CAUCAUAAUUUUUAUGGAGAGUUUGAUCCUGGCUCAGGAUGAACGCUGGCGGCGUGCCUAAUACAUGCAAGUCGAGCGAACGGAAGCUUGCUUCUCUGAUGUUAGCGGCGGACGGGUGAGUAACACGUGGAUAACCUACCUAUAAGACUGGGAUAACUUCGGGAAACCGGAGCUAAUACCGGAUAAUAUUUUGAACCGCAUGGUUCAAAAGUGAAAGACGGUCUUGCUGUCACUUAUAGAUGGAUCCGCGCUGCAUUAGCUAGUUGGUAAGGUAACGGCUUACCAAGGCAACGAUGCAUAGCCGACCUGAGAGGGUGAUCGGCCACACUGGAACUGAGACACGGUCCAGACUCCUACGGGAGGCAGCAGUAGGGAAUCUUCCGCAAUGGGCGAAAGCCUGACGGAGCAACGCCGCGUGAGUGAUGAAGGUCUUCGGAUCGUAAAACUCUGUUAUUAGGGAAGAACAUAUGUGUAAGUAACUGUGCACAUCUUGACGGUACCUAAUCAGAAAGCCACGGCUAACUACGUGCCAGCAGCCGCGGUAAUACGUAGGUGGCAAGCGUUAUCCGGAAUUAUUGGGCGUAAAGCGCGCGUAGGCGGUUUUUUAAGUCUGAUGUGAAAGCCCACGGCUCAACCGUGGAGGGUCAUUGGAAACUGGAAAACUUGAGUGCAGAAGAGGAAAGUGGAAUUCCAUGUGUAGCGGUGAAAUGCGCAGAGAUAUGGAGGAACACCAGUGGCGAAGGCGACUUUCUGGUCUGUAACUGACGCUGAUGUGCGAAAGCGUGGGGAUCAAACAGGAUUAGAUACCCUGGUAGUCCACGCCGUAAACGAUGAGUGCUAAGUGUUAGGGGGUUUCCGCCCCUUAGUGCUGCAGCUAACGCAUUAAGCACUCCGCCUGGGGAGUACGACCGCAAGGUUGAAACUCAAAGGAAUUGACGGGGACCCGCACAAGCGGUGGAGCAUGUGGUUUAAUUCGAAGCAACGCGAAGAACCUUACCAAAUCUUGACAUCCUUUGACAACUCUAGAGAUAGAGCCUUCCCCUUCGGGGGACAAAGUGACAGGUGGUGCAUGGUUGUCGUCAGCUCGUGUCGUGAGAUGUUGGGUUAAGUCCCGCAACGAGCGCAACCCUUAAGCUUAGUUGCCAUCAUUAAGUUGGGCACUCUAAGUUGACUGCCGGUGACAAACCGGAGGAAGGUGGGGAUGACGUCAAAUCAUCAUGCCCCUUAUGAUUUGGGCUACACACGUGCUACAAUGGACAAUACAAAGGGCAGCGAAACCGCGAGGUCAAGCAAAUCCCAUAAAGUUGUUCUCAGUUCGGAUUGUAGUCUGCAACUCGACUACAUGAAGCUGGAAUCGCUAGUAAUCGUAGAUCAGCAUGCUACGGUGAAUACGUUCCCGGGUCUUGUACACACCGCCCGUCACACCACGAGAGUUUGUAACACCCGAAGCCGGUGGAGUAACCUUUUAGGAGCUAGCCGUCGAAGGUGGGACAAAUGAUUGGGGUGAAGUCGUAACAAGGUAGCCGUAUCGGAAGGUGCGGCUGGAUCACCUCCUUUCUA